UACGGAGGGUGCGAGCGUUUGUCCGGAAUCAUUGGGCGUAAAGCGCGCGCAGGCGGCUCCUUAAGUCUGAUGUGAAAGCCCACGGCUCAACCGUGGAGGGUCAUUGGAAACUGGGGAACUUGAGUGCAGAAGAGAAGAGCGGAAUUCCACGUGUAGCGGUGAAAUGCGUAGAGAUGUGGAGGAACACCAGUGGCGAAGGCGGCUCUUUGGUCUGUAACUGACGCUGAGGCGCGAAAGCGUGGGGAGCAAACAGG
rnacentral:rRNA from 1 species